rnacentral:lncRNA from 1 species
GAUGCCUGAUUUAAAGGAUUCAUAUGAAAGAGGUCUUUCACAAUUACAGUUAUUAGGUUAAGCUAAUAAUAACGCUGCUAGUGGUAAAACAUUGCACCCCAUGUGUUAUGUAUUCAGUGAUUUGUGUUUGCCUGAGCUUGAGUCUGGACUAAGAAUUCUGAGCUCUUGUGUUCUGAUUCGAUGCAUGAUGUCCAGUCACAGAACAUUUCAGGAUUUGGGCCUCUGCCAUUGACCCUUGAACUCUGAGUCGUGAUUCGCAUCUUGGAAGUUUAGACAGCUAAUCACGUUGAGAAUGGGAGUGGCCCAGGCUUUCAGGAAUGUAUAUAAGCAGUUGCUUUGCCCCUGUUUCCCAGUUAUGUAGUUCAAUAAAGGUUCUUGCUAUUAUCACUGUGUCUUGCCUCGUGGAAACCCACCUACACUUCACCAUGCAUGCAGCCUGUCGGAAACAUCCAAACACUGUAGAUCCACUUGUGUCCUGUAUGUACUUUUGGUCAUGCACUACAGAAAUAAUAAGUACUGUUCAUGGAGGAUGUGGUUUUUUAAUGUCAUGUACUACCCAUUUAUGUAUAUAAGACUUAAAGAAUGGAUCCUGUAAGGCUAGUCUUCAAACACUGCAGUAAAAUCCUUUGAGAAAUUAUGGUGUUCACAUUCUUAUUAGGUGGUUAGGCACUCAAUUAACCACUGUGUGCAUGGAAAUUUCUGUUUGCUUGGGAAUAAUUUCAUGUUUGAUCAACAUGGCCCUGAAAGUUCUUUCUGCUUAGUGGGAUGAUAAAAUAUUUAUGGAUAGCAGAUCUUUACAAAUGUCCAAGGGGAUUUAGCAAUUCAAACAUAAUUAAAAGAAAUAUCAAACAGGUACCUCUUCAGUUUCUGCCUCUGAAAGGAAAGAGUGAAAUUAUACUUCAUGGAGCAGAACUAUUAAAUGUUCUGCCCUUUAGCAUCUCUUGAGAUCAUAAUAGUGUUGUGCAGUAUUUUAUAGUCUGAUUAAGAAUAUGUUACCAUGAUUCAGAUGGUGAAUGCUAAAUUGAACAUUCAGAUUACAGUGGUACAUGUGGAAUAUUCUGGAAUCAGGCGCUACCCUCCUGGGAUCCUGUCCAUGUUUGUGUUGCUGCUUCUGCUGCAGUACUUUCUUAUCUUUAGGGAAGAGGAGAGAAAGGGGAAAAUGCUUCAUGUUUCAGGGCGAAAACUGUUGUUAUUGUUCAACUUGAAGUGAUAUUUCAGGAAGUACAAGCAGUCCCUCCUGGUUUAAGGAGGUAAAAACCUGAGUGUGGAUGCCAUACUAGAAUAGAGUAAAUGCUAUAGCUUGCAUUUCUUGUGUGGUGCAGGCUUUUCCUAAUUUCCCUUGGAUUCCCUUCCAAAAAGAGUCUGAACAGGGGAAACUUAACAGUGUUUAAUUUACACUUGGCUGUGAAAAGCUGAGGGGGGGAAAUCUAAAUCACCCAGUGCUGAAGUGUCAGAGAGUGAAGCAGUUACACUAUCAUUGGUGCAAUAAGAUUUGAUGUUUAAAGCAGUCUGAGGAGUAAAAAUGCAGGUUACCUUUAUAAUGGAUUUUAGAGACUGGGUAUGAGAUUUCGUUUAGGUUAUGAUUUAAGACUUUAUAAGAAUCAGCUCACACAGUGGAACAAAACCGGAGCAAAGGGAAUGUUGCAUUACCACUUAAAGCACUUAAAGAUGGGACCACCAUUGUGAUCUCUUUGGUUCAAAAGUGGCACACAAGGUGGGGGUCGAGUCACUUGGCUAGCUUCCUGGAAGGUGGGUCACUGAUGCUUACCAAGAGGGAGAGGGACAAGGCGGUAGGGUGGUUGGCAUGGUGCGAUCCACUGGCUAGAGUGCUGGAUUGACUCACAGGCAAGUUUACACCAUACCAACCUCCCCACUACUUUGCCCUUCCCCAUCUUCCCUUCUGGUGGCUCACCUGCUGGUGAACUAGCAUAGCAGCUUCAGUCCACCCAGUGAGGCAUUUCUGCCAUGCCACUGAGCAUCUGGAACGUGUGCAGCCCAUUAUGGAGUGAUCUCCAUUGAAUUUAUAGGAUUGCAGCCUUACAGUGCAUAGGAUUGUGCUAUUAGAGAAAGGUUUGACAGGCUUUAAAUAAAAGUAAGCACUGUUUCUAUUAAGGCUGCUAAGAUUGUUGGCAAAUAAGUUGAAUAUCAUACCUGACAACAUCAGAUUGCUUUUAUCCAAGGACAGCAGUUGGGGGAUAAUUAGUUGGACAACCUCAAUUAUGAAUAAAUGCAGUCUCGCCAAAGGAGAAUUGAUGUCACAGUUGUCACUGAUGUUGAAUUGUUAUUUCUGCUUUAAACUUUACGGCACUUAAGUAAGGUCCUUUAAAGUAGGUAGAAUGAAGGAUGCAGAUUAAUGAACAGGUUUCAGAGAAAAUUGGACUUCAGAGAAACACCUAGCAAGAACGUCUUCUCUCAUCUCAGGUAUAGAACUUCUAGCCAUGUUUGAUAACACCAGUACAAGAGAUUAGCUAUGCGUUCUAAAGUAAGUCUCAUUUUUAAGGUUAAGUUUGACCAACAAUAAUAUAAAAACAGUCUUUGCUCCAAUUACAUAAUGUUAAUCUCCUCCCAUCAUAACAUUAUUUUUCAUUAUGUAAAACAGUCUUUGUAAAUGAUUAAACUGCAUUAAAUUAAACUGAGUUAUUGGGACAUAAGUUAUUUGUUAAAGAACAGCUCAGGGUUGGAGAUGGGUGAAAAUGCUGACUGCUCUUUGAUUGUAAAAGUCAGCAUUUCUCUCUGUGGGACCACUGUGCUAAUAUCAGAGAUAAGCCUCUGCCUGCUGCCUUUUACUGUCAAAGGGCAGACAGAAGCUUAUCUACAGUCUUCGCACAGCGGUGCUUAGUGGUGAGAUCCGAGAUCCCUUAGCUCCAGCUAAACUAUUAAAUAUGGUUUAUCAUAACAUGGGAACGCUACCAGUGUUUUCUCAUAAUGCCAGACCACUCUUUAACAUUACAUCCGAAUGCAGCCUUUGAAUUUGAACAGUCUUUUGUAAGAGUUAAAUGUCUAAACUAUCAGCACUUUAUCAGUGUAGUGUAAUGAACAAAGCGAUCAUUUCUGGAAAUGAUUUUAGUUUGAUAGUUGCUUUCUUGGCUGUUUUUGUUAUGAGUAUUAGUCACUGUGGGUAUCUCAUUUGGGGACUGAAUGCUGGGAAACGUUUUUUCCAAAUGAGUCAAGGGAGCAGUUCUAAAGAUGGCCAAAGGUUGGCUGAGGGUACAUCAGAAGCAGUGUAACCUUCACUCUGCCAGUAGGAGGCCUGCCGGCCAAAUGUCACUUACACCUCUGUUAAUAUAGAUGUCCCUUUGAUGGUGUUCCAUUGGCAAUGGAGGCCAAAACAGGGCACAUCAGGGGUAGUCAAAAACCCCCAUAGUCCUCCUUGUUCCCAUACAUCCAAAAAAGUGAGAAUUGGGUAUAGUUCAUUCCUUCCAUUGACUUUUGUUCUAGCCAAGGUAGAAAGGGGAACUGUCUUCCUCUCCUGCCCUGGUCACAGCAAACUGGCAGGGAUUCUGCUCAGCAACAGAAUUAUACCACUACAGCCUGAGGAUUGAUCUGUUUAUACAAAUUGAGAUAAAUAUUCAAUAAUAUGAUUUCUCCAUAUGAAAACUUUUGUGGGGGUGGGGAGGAUGCCACCAAUUCCACUUGUAUCGGGCAGGGUCAUCGUGUGUAACUGGUAUUUGACAUCUGAAAAAUGAACAAGACUAUAAAAGGUAAAGGUAAAGGACCCUUGGAUGGUUAAGUCCAGUCAAAGGCAACUGUGGGGUGCAGCGCUCAUCUUGCUUUUGGGGACUACUGGUUCAAGCACUGGUGUUAGUCAUGUGUAGCCAAUUAUCUUUGUAUUUGGUCAACGUGCUCAAAAUAAGUGUGAUCUCGUAAUCAGAUGGUUUGAUUAGGACCUUGAAAAAUCAGGGUUCAAAUCUUUACUCAGCCAUGAAGCCCACUGGGGGGCCUUGGACAGUCUUUGAGCCUAACUUACGACACAGGCUUGUUGUGAAUGGAGAGGGGGGAAAGUAUGCACACCACAUUGAACCCCAUGGAGGAAAAAUAUUAUGUAAGUAGUAAUAAUGG